rnacentral:rRNA from 1 species
UUGGUUAGUUGGUGGUAGGUAGUGGCCUCUCGUCUCCGCCUCGUUGUUUUUAGACACCUGCAAGACGGGCAAGUGGGUUGGGGAAGGCGCGCGGCGGAGGGAGCGGGCGCUCCUGAGACGCCUAGAGAGAGUCGCCGUCGUCGUUCGUCUCGCCUCUCUCGUUAGGCGGUACCGGUACCAGCGGAGGUGGAGGUAGCGGAUGGUGUUCCAAUCGUCGGUCGUGUCCUCGUAUGCAUCGUCCCAGCACGGGCCGCUAGCCGGUUCCCGCCGUCGCAACGACACUGCUCGAUCGAAAGUAGGACGCACGAGGAAAGACACACGCCGCUCGUCGGCGCAAACAGCCACCACACGUCCUUCUUCCUGGCCCUAUCCCUCGACCUCGCCCUCUUCCUCGUGUUCAUGGGGAAGUUCCAGCAGCUCUAGUGCGGCGGCGGCGCUACGGAGCCGCAGGCGACGAAGGGGUACCAUUCGCGCGUGCUAGCUACUGAAGGACACUCAAGGCCACGUAGGUAGAGGGAUGAGACAAAGACUUAGAGGCAGAGACGGUACGGUACAUCGCAUCAUCAUGAGAGUUUGACAUACAGUUGAACUCGACUAAAGAUCUAGAAAUUAAGAAUAACUAAAUGACGUUAAAAAGUUUUAAACAGAGAAUAAAUUUAAAACUUGGUUUUGCAACUUGAAGCUUGAUCUUGUAGUCCGAAACGGAUAAGAUGACAUAACAGGGGGAAGAUAUUACGUUUACGUCUCGAGGACCGAGGACGACGGGGGUAUUUUUUUCCAAGAGAGUUGGGUAUACAAAUUAAACCCGUCGUUAAAAUGGUGUAAGCAACUAGUUGGGUAUUUACUAGUUAAACCCGUCGUUAAAAUGGUGUAAUUAGUAAAUAUCCAACUAAGUCGGUUGACUUUAGUUUGAGGACAACGGUAUACAAAUUAAACUAAAUGACUUUGACAAGUUAUGAAAAUGGAGACUUACUACCUCUCUGUUAGACUUCGCUUCUACCGGAAGAAUUUGGGAAGAAUUGCUCACUCUCGCUGGCGUACCGCCUCGCGGUCACGGAGUCGAAUAAGGCCACACCACUGGAGGAGUUAUGCGAGCACCGUUCGGUCGUUCGUACUUGCCAAAAGUCUCAAAUCAAUCCAUCUUACUCGGUUAUUUUUAAAUCUCAAUAUUACCCUUGGGAUGCUGUGCAAAUAGCCCAUAUUUGACCUGAAGAGAGAACUAGACUCGCCAUCAAUCAGCAGGUUUGACACAAAGGACAUUGUUUGGCACAUCGCCUCAAAUAACCCCAACGAAGUCUUCGAACCAAUGUCAGAGCGCCCCACACGUCCCGUUGUUUCUUGUGUUUAGGACUUGGCCGUUUAAAUUCUAACUUUAGCGAUGGGUUCAUCAUCAUUGUCGAAGUCUACAAACCGACGUCAGAGUUACAGAUGGUCGGUCCGUCGAUGUCUAUCCAAACGGGGAGUUGUGGAAAUCGUCUUGACGUCGUUUACGGUCUAGCCUAUCUGACUAUGUUUCGGAGACCCAUAUCAUUUUCAAUGAUGUUGACAAGAACCGACCACUAUCAACCCUCAACUAGAUUUCAUUUUUGACACCAGAAAAAAUGGAAAAGCAUAACAGUACCUUGUGAUUUAGAAAAGGAUCGGACAAGGCUUGUUAAGUCUUGACAUGCGUACGUCGUUGCGUGAGACAGUCAGACAUAAAGACCGACAACGUCAAAACUGUCACAACGACAAAAACACAACCUGAUGCAUGCGUGCGUGCGUCUUGUAGGUGACGCCCCUCUCGCACUGCUAGCUUCCCGUCCGCAUGUGCCACAGCCGCCACUGCGUGGCCAUGGUCGACGCGUUCCCCGCCAUGCUCGGCUCGCUCUUCGCGGAGCUGCAGGAGAGGUGGCCGUCUAUGUAGGAGUUGGAGAUAGAGCUGUCGGAGGAGCUGUUCAGGAUCUGAGAGAUACGAGAUGAGAUAUGAUGAUCAUGUUUAAAUAAAUAAGAUGAUGAUGUCGUUUAAAUAAAUACGGAGAUGACAUGACAUGCAUACAUGCGAUGAAGACACUUCCGGCGCGUGCGUACGUGCGUAAACCAGGCUAUGAGACACGCGUACCACUAGUGGAAUACCCGUUAUACCCCUCGUACCUCUUUUCGGCACAUACUCCUAUAAAUAGUUUCAGGAAACAGUUGUGUAUAGAAGUAGUUCAGUAUAAACUUACUAGAACUUCACAACUUCUUCAGCUCCCGUUGCUGCCACGUUCGGUCUUACUGUUCCGGUUGCGAAACCUAAGUCGUCGGCCCCAUAAACCGUUUCAACUUACAACUACGACGGUAACCCCCCUCGAGCCCACUCCCUCGCCAACGGCGCCAUACGUCUCUACCUCUCCCUAAUAUGGAGCCCCGUAGUCGGUAACAAAAAACCCAAAAAUAGUAAAUACGGUGGUCAACACAGGGUGAUAAGUCAAAACGGUGAUCCUAAAAGUUAACGAGUUUUCACGGGAGCGAAACAAUCUGUGUACGAAUUUUUACGGUGACCUGUAAUAAUAACACUAGAGUUUAGAGAAAACGGUACAAUAUUACUGUAUUUAUGGAUACCUGGUUGUACGGUGGAGAGGGAAAUAGAGUGAUGUUAGUUCACACCCAGGGUGAACUAGGGUUGUUGCAAGAAUGAAAGGACAUUUUAAUAAGCGAAGGAAUGAGGACUGUUCACCCCGGUGUGAAUAGUAACACUCUAUCUCUCUUGACUGUACACCCAGAUCUGAAUAAAAACAGUAUAUUGUACCAGUUACCCAAACUGCACUUUUAUUGUUACAGAUUACCGUAAAAACUCGUUUGUAGAUUGCCUUGCUACCGUAAAACUCUCGUUCGUAGAGUACCUAGCUACCGUAAAAACUCGUCAACUUUUAAAAUCACCGUUUUUUCUCAUCACCCUGUAUUGGCCACCGUAUUUACUAUUUUUGGGAACAAAAAUCCCCGUAGAGGCUGGGAUAUGAUAUAACCUUCGUGAGCGCCAAUUUCUUAGUUACCGUAAUCGUCUCCUAAAUUUGGAUACAAGGUAUGUAUACCGAAGUCUUCACCACUUGCUCCCGUCUUCUCACCUAGACCGUAAUAUGUAUUUUAGUAUCUCAUGAGAUCAUCGAAAUAAAAUACAUUAAAGCAGGUACUCAAAUCCUGGAACUUAAAGCUCCGAGUGUUAAAUCGCUUCGUACGUAAUGUUGAUCCCCAACCAGCGGUACAAACCAAACCGCUGGGGCCACUUGAAAAAAAGCAAGAACAUUUGUAACACUGCCAAGUUAUUUC